AUUCGGGCUGUCGUGUAGCAAGCAGGCCAGCCCACCAAGUUGUUAUUAGCCUUGUAUUACACGCAUUAUGUUCCGCCCUCUGGGUUUAUAUACUCAUCUUAUCAUAGGUACAUAUACGAUACGUUUUCGCCUUGCUGUUUUUCGUCUCGUGAAAACUCAACAUCACAGGGAAGCUUAGCUAUACACAGGACCCGCAAGCUG